rnacentral:rRNA from 1 species
AGUUAAGUUAAUAAGGGCGUACAGUGGAUGCCUUGGCACUAGAAGGCGAAGAAGGACGCGAUUACCUGCGAAAAGCGACGGGGAGCUGGAUAUGAGCUUUGAUCCGUCGAUGUCCGAAUGGGGGAACCCGAUACGAUUCAUCUCGUAUCAUCAUGUCAGUAAACAAUAAUGACAUUGAAGGCACACCUAGGGAAUUGAAACAUCUUAGUACCUAGAGGAAAAGAAAGAGAAUUCGAUUCCGUAAGUAGCGGCGAGCGAAAGCGGAACAGCCCAAACCAAUCUUAGGAUUGGGGUUACGGACCACAACAUGGGAUUGUUAAGAGAUAGCUGAAUGGCUUGGGAAAGCCAGUCACAGAGGGUGAUAACCCCGUAGGCGAAAUCUCAAAACACCCUAGUGAGUUCCAGAGUACAGCGGGGCACGUGUAAUCCUGCUGGAAGUUACGGAGACCACUCCGAAAGGCUAAAUACUAACUAGUGACCGAUAGUGAACCAGUACCGUGAGGGAAAGGCGAAAAGAACCCCGGGAGGGGAGUGAAAAGAUUCUGAAACUGUAUGCUUACAAGAAGUCAGAGGCCGUUAAAGGCUGAUGGCGUGCCUAUUGAAGAAUGAACCGGCGAGUUAUGAUUACAUGCAAGGUUAAGUCGAAGAGACGGAGCCGUAGCGAAAGCAAGUCUGAACAGGGCGAUAAGUAUGUGGUCAUAGACCCGAAGCCCGACGAUCUAUCCAUGACCAGGUUGAAGGUGGGGUAAAACCCACUGGAGGACCGAACCGACGUUCGUUGAAACGCCCGCGGAUGAGUUGUGGAUAGGGGAGAAAUUCCAAUCGAGUUGGGGGAUAGCUGGUUCUCCCCGAAAUAGCUUUAGGGCUAGCGUUAGAAAAUUGUUUAGUGGAGGUAGAGCACUGAAUGGCUGAUGGCCGCAUGAGCGGUACUGAUUCCAAUCAAACUCCGAAUGCCAUUAAAUCUAUUCUAGCAGUCAGACUGUGGGGGAUAAGCUCCAUGGUCAAAAGGGAAACAGCCCAGACCGUCGAAUAAGGUCCCAAAAUUCAUACUAAGUGUUAAAGGAUGUAGAAACGCUCAAACAACUAGGAUGUUGGCUCAGAAGCAGCCAUCAUUUAAAGAGUGCGUAACAGCUCACUAGUCGAGUAUUUCCGCGCCGACGAUUUACCGGGGCUAAGUAUGAUACCGAAUUCACGGAUUUUAGAGUAAUCUAAAGUGGUAGGGGAGCGUUCCAUGUGGGGCGAAGCGAUACCGUAAGGAGUCGUGGACUGCAUGGAAGUGAGAAUGCCGGUGUAAGUAACGCUUGCGGGUGAGAAUCCCGCACACCAAUUGACUAAGGUUUCCUGGGGAAGGGUCGUCCUCCCAGGGUUAGUCGGGACCUAAGGUCAGGCCGAAAGGCGUAGCCGAUGGACAGCUGGUUGAUAUUCCAGCACCCGUAUAUAUGUGAUGUAGUGACAGAGAAGGCUAAUCGUACCGGUUAAUGGAUUCCGGAUCAAGCGAGGUACCUGCUAGGUAGGCAAAUCCGCCUAGCAUAAGGGGAAAACGUGAUGAGGAGCGAAUGGAGCAAUCCUAGUAGCGAAGUCGAUGAUGCAAGCUCUCAAGAAAAGCUGCUAACUUAAGUAUAUGCGGCCCGUACCGAGAACGGACACACGUGGUCAAGAUGAGUAAUCUGAGGUGAGCGAGUUAACUGUUGUUAAGGAACUCUGCAAAAUUACUUCGUAAGUUCGCAACAAGAAGUGCUCCCAGUGAUGGGAGUCGCAGUGAAGAGGCCCAAGUAACUGUUUACCAAAAACACAGCUCUAUGCUAAGCCGUAAGGCGAUGUAUAUGGGGUGAUGCCUGCCCAGUGCUGGAAGGUUAAAUUGAGAGGUUAGACGCAAGUCGAAGCUUUGAUGUGAAGCCCCAGUGAACGGCGGCCGUAACUAUAACGGUCCUAAGGUAGCGAAAUUCCUUGUCAGGUAAGUUCUGACGUGCACGAAUGGUAUAAUAAUUUGGGCGCUGUCUCGACAGCAGACUCGGUGAAAUCUUAAGACCUGUGAAGAUGCAGGUUACCCGCGACUAGACGGAAAGACCCCAUGGAGCUUUACUGUAACUUAAUAUUGAAUAAUUGUACUUCUUGUACAGGAUAGGUAGGAGACUUUGAAGGAGGAGCGUCAGCUUCUCUGGAGUCGUCGUUGGGAUACUACUCUUGAAAUAUGAUUGUUCUAACUCGCACCCUUACCGGCGUGGAGGACAGUGUUAGGCGGGCAGUUUGACUGGGGCGGUCGCCUCCCAAAAUGUAACGGAGGCGCCCCAAGGUACCCUCAGUAUGGUUGGAAAUCAUACGUCGAGUGCAAUGGCAUAAGGGUGCUUAACUGCGAGACUCACAAGUCGAGCAGAGACGAAAGUCGGGCAUAGUGAUCCGGCGAUUUCAGUGUGGAAUGGUCGUCGCUCAACGGAUAAAAGCUACCCUGGGGAUAACAGGCUGAUCGCGUCCAAGAGUUCACAUCGACGACGCGGUUUGGCACCUCGAUGUCGGCUCAUCACAUCCUGGAGGGGCAGUACCUUCCAAGGGUUUGGCUGUUCGCCAAUUAAAGUGGUACGCGAGCUGGGUUCAAAACGUCGUGAGACAGUUUGGUCCCUAUCUGUCGUGGGCGCAGGAAGUUUGAUGGGAAUCGUCCCUAGUACGAGAGGACCGGGAUGAACAUAGCAACGGUAUAUCGGUUGUCACGCCAGUGGCAUGGCCGGGUAGCUGCCUAUGGAAUAGAUAAACGCUGAAAGCAUCUAAGCGUGAAGCUAACCCAAAGAUGAGACUUCCCAUUCGUAAGAAGUAAGAUCCCUCUAAUGUUAAGAGGUUGAUAGGUCAGAGAUGUAAGUGCUGCGAGGCAUUCAGUCGACUGAUACUAAUAGAUCGAGGACUUAAUUUC